UAAAUAAUGUCUCGAAGGUACUUUGGACGUAUGAUUAUCAAGGAGAAUGCGGAGUUUUUUUAUUUUGGAUGUAUGAACAUCGAUACUGUGAGCUCCACAUUCGAGAAGAAGGACUUCCCGGGCCGCAUACGCAUGACAUCUACCAUGUUUGCCUGACGUUAUACAGAUACACAUGUGAAUAUAAAUUCUCCAUUCCAGUACGUUACAAUGUGACAAGGCUUUAACACAUUAAAUAAAAAUGCAACUUUACUUUCGUAA